GUGUGCACAGCUUUUUGGUUUUAGGGUAGAAGGCCACAGGCCACAGAGGGAGGGCCCUUUGUGUGACUGGCUGUGGUGUAGUUUGGGUCUCUUUUGCCUUGACCUUUACACUAACCUAGCUCGAGGUCUGCAGCUGUGGAUCACAGACACCAUUGGGGGAAAAUGACGAUUCCAUGGGCACCACGACUCUCCUAUUGUAGCAGCUUCAAUAGGGGAGCCCCUGUCCCCACCCCACCUCCUGGAUCUAUCAGACUGAGUGGGGGCUGUGAGCAGAGGUAAGACACUGUCACCACCCUGACUGUGUCUGGACUGAGAUGACUGUUUCUUCUUAGUAGGAAAUUAAUCCUGCAGUAGACCCCUAGGUGGCUACGCGCGUGCGCACACACACAGAACCCUAGGUGGAAGGGAGAAUUUACCUCCAGAAGCUGAGCUGUUGAUCGGGCACACACAAAAAAAGUACCAAAAUCCCCAGCCAUUUUCUAAGUCGAGAACUUCCCAGGCAUCUGGAUUCCAGGCAAACUCACAGGAAAUACAGCAUCCUGUCCACGGCCCCGUCUGGCCUCCUCCCUAUGCACUCAGGCUCCCCAGGGAGGUGCCUCCACCACUCUUGCUGCCACGGCUCACACCAACUUAAGAAAAAGGGUUUCCUCCACAGUCCCUGCUUCCUCAUAAACCAGGGUUUUGUUAUGUUACUACUGAUUGGGAGAUUUUUGUAGAAACUAAUGCCUGUGGCUGGUGAUUUUUAUUUUGGCCAGUCAAAAAUUAUUGUUAUUUCACGAACAUUUUGCGAGUUAUUACAUUCAAUUGUUGCUUUUGAACUGUGGUGGUGGAGAAGACUCUUGAGAGUCCCCUGGACUGCAAGGAGAUCAGUCCUGAAUAUUCAUUGGAAGGACUGAUGCUGAAGCUCCAAUAUUUUGGCCACCUGAUGCAAAGAGCUGACUCAUUGGAAAAGACCCUGAUGCUGGGAAAGAUUGAAAGCAAGAGGAAGGGGACGACAGAGAAUGAGAUGGUUGGAUGGCAUCACCGACUCGAUGGACAUGCGUUUGGGUAGACUCCAACAGUUGGUGAUGGACAGGGAGGCCUGGCGUGCUGCUGUUCAUGGGGUCGCAAAGAGUCAGACACGACUGAGCGACUGAACUGAACCGACUGAACUAAACAUUCAGUUGUUACACCCGACACAUCUAUAAAGUCUUCUCCAGCACUGGGAGUUUCAUCCUCACUUUCCGUAUCAAAUCAGUCACUAAGGCUUUCUGUCUUCUUAUUGAUCUAAUAUUCACACUGUCUGAAUCAGAACUAUAUUCUGAAGAACUCUCAUCUUCUGAGACACUAAGGCCUAUAUGUCGCUCAAUCAGAGAAAGUAUCUGCUUAAAAUUCACUGAAAAAUUCUUCACUCACAAUCUCACAACGUGUCACUUUUGAAAAUUCUAAGGUAACAGACUUGUAUUUAAAAUAUACAUGAGGCUGGAACAAAAACCUAAUGGUGCGAGGUGUGAAUGAUAAUGACAAUCCUAAGUUGUAGAGUGAACCCUUGGUCAAGUGUACGCUCUAACGACUUCACACGGUGAUGUUAACUGCAUUGCUCUCUAGAAGCAUAUUAAUAUGUCUCUGGUCAACAGUGUGCUGGCACCUCUGCGUGGGUAUGGUGAAGGGGUCCCCCCACAGUGGCUGAUGAAGGAGGCUGGUGGGGACGAUGGAAGCAAGGGCACUGAGAGCCCAGCCCCUCCCGUCCUUGGGAGCUACAGUCAAAUGCCCCCUCUGAAUGUCACCCUCCACCACAUGUCCCACUGGCUGUGCAACAAACUGCCCCAGAGAGGCAUCGCAUGACCACUACCUAAUACUUCAUGCCUGGCCUCUUUUUUUGGCCUUUAUAUUAUUUUGGGGGAAAAAAAAAAGGUUUUAAACUCGACUUUCUUGGGUUUUGAGAGAGGCAUU
ensembl:lncRNA